rnacentral:lncRNA from 1 species
AAUUUUUUGCCUCCAUAUAAGACUUGCUAAAAUAUUCAAGAUGGUAGCUCUUUUUUUUCCUGAAAAAUGUUAUUUUAACUAUGGAUAGAGUCUAACUUCAGCAUGAAUGGAUAAUUUAUCAAUGCAUAGAAAAAUAUCAGUAGCAAUUUUUGUAGAUUAAAUUGUAUUUAGGAAAUAAUAAACUAUUUAAAUGAGAGAGAUUUAGGUGUUAUCCUUAUAGCUCUAGCAUAUAUCUUGUUCCAAUAUAUAUAUAUAUAUAAAAGAAGCAUAUCAA